rnacentral:rRNA from 1 species
UCCGUAGGCGGGCAAUUAAGUCAGAGGUGAAAUCCCACAGCUCAACUGUGGAACGGCCUUUGAUACUGGUUGUCUUGAGUUACAGUGAAGUAGAUAGAAUAUGUAGUGUAGCGGUGAAAUGCAUAGAUAUUACAUAGAAUACCGAUUGCGAAGGCAGUCUACUAACUGUAUACUGACGCUAAUGGACGAAAGCGUGGGGAGCGAACAGGAUUAGAUACCCUGGUAGUCC